UACGGGGGGGGCAAGCGUUGUUCGGAAUUACUGGGCGUAAAGGGCUCGUAGGUGGCCAACUAAGUCAGACGUGAAAUCCCUCAGCUUAACUGGGGGAACUGCGUCUGAUACUGGAUGGCUUGAGAUUGGGAGAGGGAUGCGGAAUUCCAGGUGUAGCGGUGAAAUGCGUAGAUAUCUGGAGGAACACCAGUGGCGAAAGCGCGUGACUGGGCCACAACUGACGCUGAGGAACGAAAGCCAGGGGAGCGAAAGGG
rnacentral:rRNA from 1 species